rnacentral:rRNA from 1 species
UACGAAGGGGGCUAGCGUUGUUCGGAAUUACUGGGCGUAAAGCGCACGCAGGCGGUCCGUUAAAUUAGAAGUGAAAGCCCUGGGCUCAACCCGGGAAUUGCUUUUGAAACUGGCGGACUUGAAUUCGAGAGAGGGUAGUGGAAUUCCCAGUGUAGAGGUGAAAUUCGUAGAUAUUGGGAAGAACACCGGUGGCGAAGGCGGCUACCUGGCUCGAGAUUGACGCUCAUGUGCGAAAGCGUGGGGAGCAAAC